CCCCCCCUCCCCAGAGCCGAGGGACAGACAGAGAAUUGCAACUAGAAAUUCGAUCUAUUGGUACGAGACACCACGUGCUCGCGGGCUGGCCAAUGACCAGGACGCCCGGGAUGAGCUAAUAAUGGAAGCAAUUUGUAACUUUCAGUAGCUCUCUAGGCCUAGGUACCGGUGGGAGGGAGGCUGGCGGAGGGGGGGACAGCACCCCCAGUUUUUCUGCCCAGCUUGUUUGUCUGGGGAAACUCGGAGCCCCUGGCCCUCCUUUUCCCUUACGAGCAAUCUCGAGCAGAGUUCUUCGUUCACUCCUGACCGGACACACAGCCAGAUUCCUCCAUCUCAGAAGUCACACCUUCCAUAAUUCUCAGCUUUAAAUCAGCCCGCCCCCAGCCUCAGAGGGGUGCCUGGGAAGAAGAAUCAAGACUGACCUAUUCCUACACUGUCCCAACUGGGGACACCCCCAUCUGUUUCCAAAGUCAGCUGAGAUAGAACUCCCGGAAAAGAAAUACAAUGUUUACUUUCACUUUACUUUUGAUCAAGCUGGUUUCUCCAGUGGUGGGGGAAUCCUUUUGUGUUUGUUUGUUUUUUUUUAGACAACAUCUUACUAUGUAGCCUUGUCUGGCCUGAAAGUCAACUAUGUAGACCAGGCUGACUUCCAACUCUGAGCUCCACUUGCCUGUGCCUACCAAGUGCUGGGAUUAAAAGUCUGUGCCGUCA